UCAUUUCUCUCUACUUAAAUAUUGUUUCUUCACAGCUGUGGAAGCUAUGCGCUAUACUCUCUCUCUCUCUCUCUCUCAGAAAUUAGAAUGAAGAGAGGUGUGCCCCUUUCUGUAGAACUUGUGGCCCUUAUCGUUCUAGUUGUGCGCUAGUUCUUCAUCAAACUUGCAGUGCCAAGGAUACAAAUCGGCACUGUGUUCCUUCUUCCUGCGGCAAUAUCCCCAACAUUAGCUCUCCAUUUCGAUUGGAACACGAUCCUCCAAACUGCGGCAACCCAAGUUGGUCUGGUGCAUGAGCCUUCUUUUGCUGUUGUGCCAUUCACUGUAUCCUUUGGUGUAUCGGCCAGAGUAGCAUCCUUAAUACAUAUUAUCGGAAGUGGGGAAUCAGAGAAACCAUGGUUUUGUUGAACUGUGAAAAGCGAGUGAAUUCCCCAGGGUAUCUGAACACAUCUACUUGCUUUGGCAAUAGAUCGUAUGCUUCCAACUCAUCUUCAUCCCAGCCUGAGGCCGGGUUUAGAUGUGUGAUAUAUAGCCAGAUGAACACAGGGGAUGUGGAGGACUUGUGCCAAGUAGAGCAUAUAUUCCAGACAUCGUGGUCAGUCCGCAAUCUGGUACCAGAAGACCCAAGCAGUAUUUCCUGCACAGACUUACACAACCUAUUGCUAUACGGUUUUGAGCUUUCUUGGAUGACCCCUACAGAUUGUGGAAAGUGGGGCAUCUUCGAGUUCAGCGAACAACAUCGCUUUUGCUGAAAAAGCCAUACGGGAAUCCUUGGAAUACCAUUUUGGGUUUACAAUGGUGAGGUAAAUUUUUAUCUCAAAAUUGAUCACAAUGAAAAGCUUGAUAUAUAUCUUUAAUUUAUGAAUAUAUCUUUUUAAUUAAUAUAUCAACAUUUCAUAUU